AAGCCGGAAGUCCCCGCCCGAGAGAACAGUCCCCAGGGCUUGCUAAGCAUGCGUGGUAUCAAGAGGCGCAUUGAGGUGCUCCUACAGCCUCCUCCCCGCAUGGGACUCCUCACCACCCCCGGCCUCAGCCUCCCCCACAGGGCAGAGGCUCACGCUCACCCACUCUGGACCAGGAACGCAGCCGGCUUGCCUUUUGUCCAGUUGGGGGCUCUUUCUUUGCGACUGAUACAAAGUGGGGACAAACUCCGCUUCCAGUGAUGCCCGGGCCCCAGGAGGCUGGGGGAGAAGUGCCCGCUGCCCGGCCUUCAACCUGAGCUGCCUCCAACACUUCCGAACCCAGAUCCCUGCAGCUGUGAGGAUUAUCUUGGCACCAUGGGAAUCACUUCCUUUACUCUCGCUGACCGCCCCGGGACAUAUCUUUAAAAAUUGGAACAUCUUUCGGGUAGAUGAGCUAAAAAGGAAAAGACAUCUUAUGUUACACUGUUUGGCCUGGGUACAAGUUCGCUGACAAUGAAAAGUGGUCAGAGAGUGGAACCAAACCAUGAGCUUCAUCGACAUCCUGCAGCUCUGUCUUUCCGUAGGAAUCAGGGACAAUGGUCCUAAGUACCCUAUAAGCAAGCAUGUGUGGCCUUACAACAGAACCCGGCUCUACGCAGAAGCUGCAGGCUAAAAUCCAGUACAAUAGGGACUUGCCCAGCUGGAGGUACUCGCACUGGGACAUCACACCAUCCAGGGCCAGAGAAACUGCUCCCCUUAUGGGAGGUCCCGAAUGGAGAGGGGACCAUUAUGGCACAUGUCCCAUAAAUGAUCUAAUUUAUGGACUCACAUCAAUAAAUGAUCGAAUCCAAUGGAAGCAAAAAAACAAAAACUCACCUUCUGUAGCAGAGAAAUGGAGAGUAGCCCUAGGAGUCCCCCCAAAACUGAAAGAAACACCAUGUCUGGUUGUGGGAGGAACACCUCGUUCAGUUGUGGGAGAAACGCCUCGUCUGGUUGGCUCCUUUCCAAAGCAGCCGGACUCUGUGCCCUGAAGGUGGCCUGGCUGCCUUAGGGCAGUCACAGCCAUCGCCACUCCAGUAGAAGAAGCCCAAAACCUGACUUUUUUUUUUUUUUUUUUU